GUGCUCACUUUCACAGCACAUACACUAAAAUUGGACCAAUACAGAGAAUGGCAUGACCCCUGUGCAAGCAUGACAGGAAAAUUCGUGAAGCAUUCCAUAUAUUU
ensembl:snRNA U6 U6 spliceosomal RNA